AUUGAACGCCGGCGGCAUGCUUUACACAUGCAAGUCGAACGGGGUGGGGGGCAACUCCCAUUCAGUGGCGAACGGGUGAGUAAUGCAUCGGAACGUAUCCCGUAGUGGGGGACAACGCCGCGAAAGCGGCGCUAAUACCGCAUAUGCUCUACGGAGGAAAGUGGGGGACCUGCAAGGGCCUCACGCUAUGGGAGCGGCCGAUGUCCGAUUAGCUAGUUGGUGGGGUAAUGGCCCACCAAGGCGACGAUCGGUAGCUGGUCUGAGAGGAUGAUCAGCCACACUGGGACUGAGACACGGACCAGACUCCUACGGGAGGCAGCAGUGGGGAAUUUUGGACAAUGGGGGCAACCCUGAUCCAGCCAUGCCGCGUGCGGGAAGAAGGCCUUCGGGUUGUAAACCGCUUUUAGUCGGGAAAAAAAGGCAUCUCCUAAUACGGGGUGUUCUUGACGGUACCGGCGGAAUAAGCACCGGCUAACUACGUGCCAGCCGCCGCGGUAAAAC
rnacentral:rRNA from 1 species